rnacentral:SRP_RNA from 1 species
ACUGGGCAGGGUGACAUGUUUGUGAUCCUUACUACUAGGGGAGGCUGAGGCUGGUGAAUCACUUGAACUCAGGAGCUCUGAGCUACAGGAGGGCUAAAGCUGAUCAGAGGUAUGCACUAAGUCGGGCAUCAUAUAUGCUGAGCCCCUGGGUACGGGGGCCACCAGGCUGCCUAAGGAGAGGCAAACCAGCCCAGGUUAGAGAUGAAUCAGGUCGAGGUCUUCAUGCUGCUUAGUAGUGGGAUCAGAUCCAUGAAUAACUAUUAUACUUCCAGUCUGGGUGAGAUGGGGAGACUCAGCCUCU